rnacentral:lncRNA from 2 species
CAGCACCGGCCGGCACGUGGCACGCGGUUUUUCUGGGCUUUUGGCCUCUUCCCCCUAGGCUCGCACCCCCAUCACCACCCGAUUCCCGGAACCCGCCCCAUUUCCGCCUCCUCCUUCGCCUUCGCGGCUUCGCCUCUCUCCCACACAUGCAUCGCCAUCGCCGUCAUCCUGAACAAGAAGACGAGCAUCUCAUCUCAUCUCAUCUGCCGAUCGAUCGAUUCGCUGCAGGGAGAGCUGAACAAUGGAGUUCGUGUUGAUCAUCUCGCUGCCGCUCCUCAUCCUGAUCAUAAUCGUCGCGGUGGUUCUCUGCAUCAUCUGCCGCUAGCUGAAUGGUGACACCUCAUUGUUCUUCCUGCCCAUAUCUUGAUGUGAACAUAUCAUGUAUCAAUUGAUUAGUAUCUCAUGACUCACAACAGAGCAGUCUCGUACUCUCUUUGGGGGGCCAGUGUGGUUGUGAUUAGUUUGGCCCUAGCUUUGAUGAGCAAAAAGACAUUGAUUCUGAAUGUCAUACAUACAUAUGUGCUGUGAGA